UUAUACAUCCAUGGAGCAGAGCAAUAUCCAAAUAACUACUAUGAGUCAGGAGAACAACUUUUCUCUAAGUUUUGCCAACAUAUGAUUGACUGGAUCCUCAAGAAUACAUGUGAUGACCACCUACAAUCAAAAGCUCACAUCAAAAACCGAGAGAGGCAGCAUGCUAGCAAGAGCUCAUCACUUCAACAAACUCUCGGAAGUGCAACCAUAUUGUCAGAUACAAAACAUAAGUUCGUUGAAGACUUCAUGGCUGUAUGUGCAGAGUCAGAUAUUCUGUUGGAAAAUAUGAAAAAGCUACAUCCAUUUCUGGUCAAGCAUUGUAAACAGGGAGGAGUGUUGCCUGGACAUGAGCAGCAUAUGGAGGUUGUCCUGCAGAAGAUCCACGGGAAGAAAUUUUUAGUAGUUGUCGACGAAACAACUGACGCAAGAGACUGCAGCGUUCUGAACAUCAUCAUUGAUUUGAAGACCAGUACUUUCUGACGUCAUUUUCAUGGAGAUAUGUAAAUACUCAACCUUCUCCCAAGCAAUUUUGGGCUUCCUACACAGCAAUAGUCUGAACCACAGUAAUGUCUGGGCAGUGGUCACAUAAUGCAGCCUACUGCCUGAAAGCAUACAGGGACGUUCUGAAAGGUGUGGUGCUCAACAUAACGCAUGUGACCUGUCUCUGCCAUGCAGGCCAAGGUUCCUUCCGAAGCAGUGAGCACCAGGUGGAAUACCUGGUUUGAGGCAAUGAAGUACCAUGUAGAACAUGUUCAUCUGUAUAGAGAGUUCUUGUUGACAGAAAAUUCAUCAUCCUAAGUACUCCCAAACAUCUUCAGCCUGCUGGAAACAGAGGAGAAGGUGCAGGCCCUCACCAUCAAGCUGACCUUCAUCUCCGAGGGCUGCGCCAAACUGAUGACGGCUCUGAUAAUCCUGGAAGGAACCCAUUGUCCCACAGCAGUUUCUGCACACAAUGUAAUGGAGGAUUUGGAGGCCUACCUUGUGAAUGGAACGGCCAAAACAUGUGGAUGUGCUGCCAUAACUGAUGAGCUGCUGAGAAAGAUGGGGAUUCAAGAGAGGAGAGAGGUGCUUGACCAUCUUCAUGAUGCAUUUCACCUGGCCCUCACAAAGUUCUCAAUGCACUGGGACACACAUCCAGCCAAAGAGGUCUACAGGCUGGUAAGGGUGUUUGAUCUUAGUCAAGCUCCAGCCAUGGAAAAGCAGAUUGGAGCCUGCACACAACUGAACCCCCUAGCAAACCCAUCAGCAGAGCUUAGUGAAGAAUGGAUUGCUUAUCAGCACUGUGUGUCCAGGGAGCCUUUCAUACCUGAUCUCGCUGAAUACUGGAGUGUGAGAUUUCCAAGGGUUGCAGGGGUGGCAGUACCCUACAUUUACUUCCCAGUCAGCUCAGUUGACUGUGAGAGGAGUUUAAGCAAAUACAAGACUCUACUCACAGAUAAGUGAGAGGCACUCACUGAGCUGAACACAAAGAGGCUGACAAUCAUGUACUUCAACAGAGAUGUAUGUGAAAGAUGGAAGACUUAAAAUAGACAGACACAUACAGUAGGCCUAGCUCAUCAAGUAGUUCCAUAAGUUUUGCCUGUGUUACAACAACAGAUCGCUUGUUUUUUAUAAUAUGAAGUUCAAAUGUGAAGCACUUUAUUUUACAAAAGGAUGGAAUGUUUUGUUUUGUAACUGUACUGAAGCGCUUUCUUUGAUAUUCAUUAAAUUUUGAUUAUUUUCUUAUUGAA